rnacentral:rRNA from 1 species
UAAGGAAUAUUGCUCAAUGGGAGAAAUCCUGAAGCAGCAACGCCGCGUGGAGGAUGAAGGGUCUAUGACUUGUAAACUCCUGUAAAGAAGGAAAAAAUUCCCAUUUGAUGGGAGAUGAUGGUACUUCUGGAGUAAGCCCCGGCUAACUACGUGCCAGCAGCCGCGGUAAUACGUAGGGGGCAAGCGUUGUCCGGAUUUACUGGGUGUAAAGGGUGCUCAGGCGGAUUUGUAAGUCAGAGGUGAAAUCUUACAGCUUAACUGUGAAACUGCCUGUGAUACUGCAAGCCUAGAGUAUGGAAGAGAGUGAUGGAAUAUCUGGUGUAACAGUGAAAUGCGUAGAUAUCAGAUAGAACACCAAUGGCGAAGGCAGUCACUUGGUCCAUUACUGACGCUAAAGCACGAAAGCGUGGGUAGCAAACA